ACAGCGCGCUAAGAACUGGCACAGUGCCACACGGUGGCAUGGAGAGCCACUACAUCAUACGGCCACACUUGGAUGAUCAAGAAGAUGGACACAGUAGAAGCAGACUAUGUCAACACAGUGAUGGAGUUGUCAUCAUGAGCCAUGAGGAGAGGAAGACCACAUGUUCAUCAUCAGUAGAAUUACAUGAUAUCCAGUAUUGUCUAUUCUGUAUUACAUGCUUAUUCAUCAUUUACAUUUGUUAGUGUUCCACUUACAAGAAGGAAGAUAACUGCUUCCUCCAGGGCAGUAAAUAUGAAAUAGUCUUACUUUGUAUAAGCUUUGAAAGAUGAACAAGAUGAUCCCAGACUUCAUCAGCAUGUUAAAGUAGUUUUGUUUCUGCAGUGCAUUUCUUCUUUUUUCUUCUGAGAGUCAACAUAACAUCUUCAUUACUAAUAUUGGACUGAUUCAUGGCACCAGUAGUUUUUCUUUUGUUUUUAAGAUGUCAAAAACAUAAUUAAACCAUGUUAUUAAUACAAUUAAUUAGUAAUGAAAUGAAAUGACUGUUAAAAUGUGAACUUUCAGAUUUCUUGCCAAGAAGCUUUUCAUGAAGUGUUUAGGAGAAAAGUAUUUUUAUCACUUAUUCUGUCAUUUGUUUUAGCACAUUUACACAGGUAAAGGUUGAUGAUAGCUGCAGAUGACGGAUUUCUUAAUGUCAUAUUUACAGCACAGAAGUCAGCAAAGACACUGUGGUAACUGUGUGCAAAAAACAUUGUUAUGAUUUCAGCUGAUUAAUUGUGUCAUUAUUGUAAUUCAUGUGAUAUAUUCUAUACAUAUCAAUAAUAAAGAAGAUUAAGCAUA